AGGGACAGCAGUGCACCCAGCGCCUCGAGGUUAACGCCCUAGUCACGCUCUUCGCACAAGGCGUGGGCGGAGCUUCUGGCGGAAGGGCAAGGAAGGAGGUGACGCGAAAAGCAGGCGCUGGUGUCGCGCUGCCGCUGGGAGGAAGCUCGGCCGCCUUGCCGGCCGAAAGCAGGCCGGAGCCCCGGUGGCUGGCCUGGCUUUCCCCGGGCGUGGGCGUGGGCGUGGGCGAAGGCGAAACAGCGGUCCCGCAGCGUCCGUCCAGGCAGAAGCUUAGGUGCCGGGAGCAAAGAACGUAGGUACAUCCAGUUCUCAUUAUGCAUCAGAAAAAUGAAAAAACAGAAGAAAAUUCUAUGGAAGAAAGGAAUUCACUUAGCCUUUUCUGAGAAAUGGAAUGCUGGGUUUGGAAGCUUUAAGAAGUUCUACUUUCCCCAAAACUUGUGCUUUCUGAAAGCUAAGCUGGGAAGGCCAGUUGCUUGGCAUCGGCAGGUGAAGCAUUUCCAGUGUAAUAAGGGUCUUCACAUCCAGAAAACAUGGAUUCAAGAUGUACCGUUUUGUUCAAAGACAAAGUCUGGACUGGCUACUCAAAAUGUUAGUACUUUGUACCCCAAAGUGAAAAGAAAGGACAGUAAGCACUUCAUUUCCUCCUCAAGGAGUCUCCUGAAACUCCAAGCAGAUAAAUUACUGUCUUCAGCAAAGAGCUUGGACCAUAAAUACUGCAGAGAGAAAAGCCUUCUGAAGGCAGCUCCUGGCUUGUCAGCAAACACUGUUUUAGGUAGAGCCAAUGGUCACGAACCUACCACAGACCCACAAGCUUCAGACUUUCCCAUGAAGUUCAGUGGGGAGAGCCAAAGUCCAGGUGACAGUGGCAAGACUGUGGUCUUGAACAAACAUAGAAAGCGAGUUUGUCAUGGCUGCUACCAAGGGCUAGAGCACCACAGGAACAGGAGACCCCUGAUUCCAAAGCAGUUCCAGCUUAACCAACACCGAAGAGUCAGAGCGUCUCUGAUGAUGUAUGAGAAACUAUCCAUGAUUAGAUUUCGGUAUAGGAUUUUCAGAUCCCAGCACUUCAGAACGAAAAGCAGAGUUUGCAAGCUAAGAAAGGCCCAGCGAAGUUGGGUACAGAAGGUCACUGGGGACCAUCAAGAGAACCUUAGGGAUAAUAACACUGAGGGUGACAAUUGCAAUCCAGUCCCUUCCCUAGAACCUAAAGAUCCUUGUCGGUGUCAGCCAUACUUUCCAGACAUGGACAGCAGUGCUGUGGGGAAGGGAAAAAACUGUCACGUGCCUGAUGGUCACACUAAAGAAAACCCUGUAUUGGACAAGGAGCAUGGUUUAGAUGACACAUUCCCUGACCAGCAGAAUGGCUGUGUUGCAUACAAUUGGGACCAGUCAUCCUCUUGUCCUAAGUGGGAAUGUACAGAGCAAAUUCAUGAAAUCCCUUUAAUGGAACAUCCUUCUAGUGACAAGUUCUCUCCAGAAACUGAAAGAGCACUUAUGGCGCUGGGUCAGGAAAGCGGGACAAGUGCUGUCAGCGAUGACAGAGAGAAACUGCCAGUGUCUGGAGCAGACAAAUCUGUGAGUAGUGUAGACGGGCCUGUGUCUGAGGAGCCUGCCCAGAAUGAGAACUUCCAGAUGGAGGAGGAUGGGUCUCUGAAGCAGAGCAUUCUUAGUUCUAAGCUGCUGGACCACCCUUACUGUAAAAGUCCACUGGAUGCUCCCUUGCUGUGCAGUGAACCCAAAGUAGAAAACCAAAUGUCAGGUGGCAAGAGCAGCCAGACAGCGUCUCCAGUGGAUGAUGAGCAGCUCUCAACCUGCCUUUCUGGAUUCCUAGAUGAGGUUAUGAAAAAGUAUGGAAGUCUGGUCCCACUCAGUGAAAAAGAUGUCCUUGGGAGAUUAAAAGAUGUCUUUAAUGAAGACUUUUCUAAUAGAAAACCAUUCAUCAAUAGGGAAAUAACAAACUACCGGGCCAGACAUCAAAAGUGUAACUUCCGCAUCUUCUACAAUAAGCACAUGCUGGAUAUGGACGAUCUGGCAACUUUGGAUGGGCAGAACUGGUUGAAUGACCAGGUUAUUAAUAUGUAUGGCGAGCUGAUAAUGGAUGCAGUCCCAGACAAGGUCCACUUCUUCAACAGCUUUUUCCAUAGACAGCUGGUAACCAAAGGCUAUAAUGGAGUUAAAAGAUGGACGAAGAAGGAAAUCUGGAAAAAGAAGAAAAAAAGAAGAUGCUCAUGAGAUUGCUAAUUUUAGUAAAAUUAUAUUUUUAAAUAAACUGAUACCCCAGCUAGUUAGAAUUUAAAGCCAUUGAUAAGCCUUAUGGUUUUUAGUCACUAUUUCUUAUAGUAAAUAUAUUUUAAACUGAUAAAAUACUAACAAUGCCAGAAAUUAAAAGAUGUGCCAUUAAUUUCUUAAAGGUUUUUAAUUUUUAUUUAACUUUAUUAUUUUUUUUAAUGGUUUUAGAGUGAUGUUGGCUUGGUGGUUAAAAUGUUGGCUCUUACAGAGGACCCAAGUUUGGUUCCCAACAUCCUUAUGAUUGCUUACAACCAUCUGUGACCCCAAUUCCUGGGAUACCAGGCAUAGAUGUAGAAUAUUUACAUUAUGCAGGUAAAACACUCAGCACAUAAAAUAAGAAUGAACAAAUUUGUAAAAACGAAGAUGCUGUGGAGGCAGAGUUAAGGUGGCCGUGGCCCACCAUGUGGAUGCUCUGCAAAGUGUCGAGUGUCCCUGCCUUGAGUCACGUUACAGCCUCUGUGCUGGUGCUGGGUUUUCUGAGUCAGGUUUUUUUGGUAUAGCACUGGUUGUCCUUGAAUUCAAUUUGUAACCAACUUGGCCUUGAACUCUGCUUGAGGUCUGCCUGCCUUUGCCUGAGUACUGAGACUAAAGGCAUGUGGGACCACUGCUCUGAUCCAACUUCUAUUUAUUAAGCUUUUUCAUAGUUGAAAGGCAAUAGUUAUGUUUCUGGGAUUGAUAAUUUGAAAACAAAAGGCUAAACCACUAAACUACACUUCAUUUGUCCCUCCUCCAUCAGUGACAUGCUGUUGUGUGUUCGCUUUUUUUUUUUUUUUUUCUUGAGACAGGGUUUCUCAGUAUAGCCCUGGCUGUCCUGGAACUCACUCUGUAGACCAGGCUGGCCUCAAACUCAGAAAUCCACCUGCCUCUGCCUUCCAAUUGCUGGGAUUAAAAGCAUGUACCACCACUGCCCGGCGUGUUGUUCACUUUCUUAAAACACCCAAGUUUUCUGUGUUUCUCCCUAUAAUCUCUCCCUCUCUCUCUCCCUCCCCCUCUCUCCCUCUCCCUCUCUCUCUCCCUCUCUCCCUCUCCCUCUCUCCCUCUCUCCCUCCCCCUCUCUCCCUCUCUCCCUCUCCCUCUCCUCCCUCUCCCUCUCCUCCCUCUUCCCUCUCCCCUACCUCCUCUCCUCUCCCUCUCCCCACCUCUUCCUCUUCUUCUCCCUCCACCUCCCUCCCUAUGUCCCCCCCCCCCAUGUUCCUCAUGUGCACUGUGAUAUUCUCUCUAUAAUUACCCUUUCACUUAUUUUCUUUUCUCUUCUCCCAAAAACCUAGGAUCUUUGUAGCCCAGGCUUGUAAGGUGCACUAGGAACCUGGGUGUGCAGCCUCUUGGUCUGUAAUCCUAGCAUGCAGAAGGCUAAGGUGUAAGGGUGUCAUAAAUUCAAUGCCAGCAAGGAUUUCUGGAUCAUGUCUCAAAAAACAAAAACAAAAAAAACAAAAAAAAAAAAAACAAGACCAGGAAGGAGCUCGUUGUUCUGUUUUUAGAUCUAACCAUUGUGGAAUUCCAGAAAUGUGAAAUCUAGUCGGCUUUUAGAGUACAUUUAGUUUUUAAACUUUUUUUUUUUAAUUUAUUUAUUUUAUAUAUGUGAGUAUACUGUCGCUGUGAGCCACCAUGUGGUUGCUGGGAAUUGAACUCGGGACCUCUGGAAGAGCAGUCAGUGCUCUUAACCACUGAGCCAUCUCUCCAGUCUAGUUUUUAAACAUUUAAUAAAUUCCCUUACCUUUGGUGUGUGUGUGUAUAUACACAUAUGUAGAGACCUGUUUUGGGUAUUGUUCUUCUAGGGAGCCAUCUACAUUGCUUUUUGGUUUGUUUGUUUGUUUGUUUGUUUUUGAGGCAGGGUUUAUAUAUAGCCUUGGGUGUCCUGGAACUCAGUAUGUAGAGGCCCACUUGCUUCUACCUCUCAGUGCUGGGAUAAAAAGCAUGCUUGCUCCUGGCCCACGUUGUGUUUUGAAACAUGGUCUCUUACUGCCCUAGAUCUUGACAUGUAGGCUGGGCUGUUUGGCCAGCAUGCGCUAGGGAUAGGCCUAUUUCAGUCUCUCCUGGGCUGGGAUUAUAGGUAUGUCUUACACACCCAGCUUUUAAAUUCUAGCCUGGGGAUCAGUCUGAGAGCAAACAUUUUACCCACUGAGCCAUUCCCUAGCUGAGGUAUGUUAAGCACUUCUAGGUGGUGGUAGAUGAGGAAGAGAAACUUUGCUCUGUCUCAUGUCACAGUCAAUAAAAGCUAAUGAGAGAGUGCUUCAUGGAGUUUGCUUGUGGAACAGAAGGAAGUGGGAUGCCAUCGGCUUUGGUUGGUUUGAUUUUUAGAUAUGUAUGUCCCUGGCUGUCCUGGAACUGGCUCUGUAGACCAGGCUGGCCUCAAACUCGAGAGAUCUGCCUGCCUCUGCCUCUGCCCCUCUCUGCCCCUCUGCCUUCUCACUAUGUAGGCAUCUCUAGGGUCACUAUGUAGGCGUGAUUGCUUAGAAACCAUUAGCCACUGGUGACCCACUAACUUUAUUCAUUCUCUCUUCCCUAAUUCACUGAAGUAGAAGGUUGGAAUUGAGAAUCCUUACUGUUUGGCCACAGGUGGUUUCCUUGGCAACCAGGUGUCAUUGUUGUCACUCCCCCCAACCCCCUUCAUUCAGGCUUUCCCCAAAAUUACCUCAUUAACUUAAGUCCAGUGCAUUUAGUUCUUUUUCAUUUUUGCUGCUUCUCUGAUUUCCCCACCCCCCACCCAAUCCCAAUACUUUCUCUCUCUCUCUCUCUCUCUCUCUCUCUCUCUCUCUCUCUCUCUCUCUCCCCUUUCUUCUUCUCUUCCCCCUUGCCAUUCUUUACUUUCUUUCUUACUAUAUAGCCCAGGCUGGCCUCUAACAAUCUUUCUGUUUCAGCUUUCUGAGUGUCUGGAUUACAGAUGUGUUACAUUAUAUUUGGCUGCAUUUUUUACUUUCCCAUAAAUGGGAUAGGAAUCUUUUAAAGAGCUCUAGGUGGCAUCUAGUUUACAGUUUACAUCCGGUCUUUGCUGUAGGAACCGUGAGGAACCAGACUUGAUGGGGGUGAAACAGGCAUGGCGGUGCUUGUUGGGUCGGGAAUGACAGCAGGCCAGAUGCAAGAUGUGGACAAGUGUGACGUGGGGGUGAAAUGCACACACUCUCGUGGUGUCCUCUGAGUGGCUGAAGGAGAGCAAGUAUGAAAGAUGACCUCAGAUGCAUGAGUUUUGACUCGAUGAGCUAUGGUGGCUACAGUAGAAAUAGAUUGGACAGUUCACUAUUUAGGAUUUGGUAGAACUAAAAGUACAGAUGCGGGGCUCUGGGGUACAGCUCAGUAGCAAAGCACAUCCGACUCCUUGGGAGGCUCUGGGUUCUGUCCCAACCCCACAUUCAUAUACUCAUGUAUAGAUUGCAUAGCACAUAUAUGUGGAUGCUAUUUCAGCUGGAAAUUUUACCUGGCUCUGGAAGAUAGGGGUGAGCAAAUGUUAUAAACACAAUGAAUGGUUUUCUUUGUGUAAAAAGUAUAUGUUCAUGGGAAGUAGUUGAAAAAUACAUAUUACUUUGUUAAAUGAAAAUAAAUUAUUCUUUGGAUUCUCAAAUUAGGAACUAAAAAAAAUUGUAGCCAUAUGUUAAAUGCUAAGAAACUAACAAAAUCAUAUGAAAAUGGGUGCUUGAUAAUAAACUGACAAUUAACUGAAGUUCUGUGCAAACCAAACCAAAAUAAAGCUGGUGUCAUGAUAUGUGCCUUCCAUCCUAGUACUCCCAACUGAGAGGCAUGUGACUCUCUUAGAGUUCAAGGCUAGCCUGGUCUACAUAGUGCCCUCUCUGACACUCUCAGACAGCUGCAUUCACAUGCCAGUACACAGACGUGCUUGUAUACACAACACCGUCAGACACACACUAAUAAAAAUAAAUGUAUACAAUGACAUCUCUCAUUGACUAACCUUGUAGACAACAUGUAAGCUCAUGAAACCUAACGCAUCCAGUGCGAUUGCAUCAAUACACAAUAGAGCAGCAUACCGUAAAAAGGGAGAUGGCUCAGCUGGUAGGGUGGUUAUUUUCAACUCUGACGCUUCAACCUGAAGUCAGUCCUUGGACCCCUCCUUGUUGAAGGAAAGAGCCAGCUCACAAGAUGUCCUCUGGAGCUGGGCGUGGUGGCACUUGUGAGGCAGAGGCAGGCGGAUUUCUGAGUUCGAGGCCAGCCUGGUCUACAAAGUGAGUUCCAGGACAGCCAGGGCUACACAGAGAGACCCUGUCUCGAAAAACCAAAAAAGAAAAAACAAACAAAAAGAAAACAAAACAAGAUGUCCUUUGACAACACAUCCUAUGACAUGCAUUGUCCAUACACAUAAAAAUACAAAUUUUAACGAGUAAAAAAAGUCAGGUGUGGCAGAGCACAUAUUUAAUCCCAGCACUGGGGAGGCGGAGGCAGGCGGAGUAUGUGAUGAGUUACAAGACAGCCAGGACUACAUAGAGAGACCCUGUUCCAAAAAUCAAAACAAAACAAAACAAAACAAAAAGGGGGGAAAAUUUUUUUAAAGACGGAAUCUAUGUUUCGCUUCUGGUUCCCCUUUACUUCCCAUAUAGAUUGACAGUCUAUAUGUACCCAAGCUAGCCUUGAACUUGUCACCCAACCCAGCUGUAUUUAUUUACUUUUUUGUACCUAAGGGACAUUUAUAAGAACUGCUUUUUAAGUUUUAGAAUUGUAUUUCUCUAUGUGUGGUAGCUGGUCUAUGUGCAGGUGCCUGCAUGCUACAGCACACACAGGAAGGUCCUAGGACAACUUUGUGGACUAGGUUCUCUUCUCCCACUUCAAGGUGGGUUCCCAGGGAUCCGAACUGGUCUUCAGGCACAGCAAGCAGCUUGACCCACUGCACUAUCUUGAUGGCCCCCACAACUUUUACUUUGAGAUAGGAUCGUGAGGAGUUAAAAAUACCAAAGGAUAACAAAGCAAUAGGUACUCCACAAACACUUGUAAAAAAUGAGUUUGUUGGGCCUCAUAGCACAUCCGUGUGAUCCCAGCAUUUAGGAGGUGUUCAAGGUCAUCCUGUGAUAGAGGGAGAGUUCAAGGAAAAGUGGACUGCAGGAGACCCCAUCUAAAAGGACAGGAAUAAAAAGCUUGGCACAGCUCUUCCACAGGAGGCCCACACGCCUCCGUCUGUGCCGCCGCCGUGUCUCUAGUGAUCCCUGAGAAGUUCCAGCACAUUUUGCGAGUACUCAACACCGACAUCGAUGGGCGGUGGAAAACAGCCUUCACCAUCACUGCCAUUAAGGUCGUGGGGCGGAGCUAUGCUCAUGUGGUGUUGAGGAAAGCAGACAUCGACCUCACCAAGAGGACUGGAGAACGCACGGAGGAUGAGGUGGAGCGUGUGAUCACCAUCAUGCAGAACCCGCGACAGUACAGGAUUCCAGACUGGUUCCUGAACAGACAGAAGGAUGGGAAGGAUGGGAAGUACAGCCAGGCUCUGGCCAGCGGACCAGACAACAAGCUGCGUGAGGACCUGGAGCGGCUGAAGAAAACGAGCCCAUAGAGGGCUGAGCCACUUUGGGGACCUUCGUGUCAACACACCAAGACCACUGGCCGCAGGGGCCGUACUGUGGGUGUAUCUAAGAAGGAAUGAGUCUCUGGGCCUUUGCUGUUAAUAGUUUAUACACCUAUGGGGGAAAAAAAGAAAAGAAAAAGCUUGGCACGGUAUCUAUAGUGAAAGAACCGUGCAUUCAAGGGCUGUCUGUUUAACUCCGCAUGAUUACAUUAAUUAAUUAAUUACAUCAAUUUAGUGUGUGCGUGCGCGCGUGCGUGCGUGCCUACAUGCCGUGGUACAGGUGUGGAGUUCAGGAACUUUGAACUGUGGGAGUCAGUUCUCCCUUACAGUGCCGGUUCUGCAUUGAGCUCCGAUCCCAGCUCGGUGGUGGCGCCUUUACCUGUCGACCAUCUCACCACCCGUUCGUAGGAAUUAGAAGCGGAAUAGCAGUUUUUCUAGAUUUGAGAAGACAUGUUUUAGGAUAAAAAGGGCAUGCUAGGAUUUUAAGGAUAUAUUUGACCUAAAGGGCAUAUAUUAUUAUCAAGAACAUUUUCUCCAUUUUCACAUCAGAGACACAGAGAAGUGAUGAGAAUAGCCAGGACUGUCUGGUAAAGGUACUAAAGCAUGUUUGUAUGAGUCUUCAACCCCCUCCUCGGUUUUUGAGACAGGUUUCUCUGUAUAGCCUUGGUUGUCCUGGAACUCACUCUAUAGACAGAACUGGACUCAGACUCAACAGAGACCCACUCGCCUCUGCCUCCUGAAUGCUGGGAUUAAAGGCAGGCGCCAUCCUAUGCCAGUUUUGUGUUUUCUUUUUUUUUUAGAACUGUAUAAGGAAACAUGUUUCCUACAUGCUACACUAGGGAGUCAGGGGAUAAGAGGGCAAACAAAACUGACAAACAGAAUUGCAUGAGAUUGCAUGUUUUAUUAAGACAGUUUUUUUUUAAAGAUUUAUUUAUUUUAUGUAUGUGAAUACACUGUAGCUGUACAGAUGGUUGUGAGCCUUCAUGUGGUUGUUGGGAAUUGAAUUUUUAGGACCUCUGCUUGCUCUGGUCAGCCUCAUUCACUCAGGUCAACUCUACUCACUCUGGCCCAAAGACUUAUUUAUUAUUAUACAUAAGUACACUGUAGCUGUCUUCAGACAGGCCAGAAGAGGGCAUCCGAUUUCAUUACGGGUGGUUGUGAGCCACCAUGUGGUUGUUGGGAUUUGAACUCAGAAUCUUUGGAAGAGCAGUCGGUGCUCUUACCCGAUGAGCCAUCUCUGGCCUCAAACUCAGAAAUCCGCCUGCCUCUACCUCCCAAGUGCUGGGAUUAAAGGAGUGGCCACCACGCCCGGCUGAGAAACCCUUUCUUGAAAGACCAAAACCAAACACACAAAAAGAGGUGGACUUGUUUAAAAAGAGUCUUCUGUUGAUUCCCAUCCACCUGGAGGUCCACUGGUCUCUCAUUACUGUGACACUCUCCAGCCGGAUUAUUUCAUUUUAUGAUUCCCAAGGCAUUCAUUUUAAAUUCUGUGUAGAGAAUAUAAGAAAGUAUUUGCUGACUGAAGCCAGAGAAAAAAAUAGACCUGAAUUUCUUCAGGGUUGGCAGACUGCUGUUACAAAGUGUAUUCCACAACAGAAAAAUGACAGUGACUGUGGAGUCUUUGUGCUCCAGUACUGCAAGUGCCUCGCCCUAGAGCAGCCUUUCCAGUUUUCUCAAGAAGACAUGCCUCGUGUGCGGAAGAGGAUCUAUAAGGAGCUGUGUGAGUGCCGGCUCCUGGACUGAGACUCACUCAGCAGGGACUCCAGAAGGCGCCAUGAUGGAGCAGAUGGCUUGUUACUUGAAUCUCCAAACACUUACUGAAUCUUUACAGAUAUUUCAGAUUGGUGGUAUUGGGCCACUUAUUGUUACCUCAGAUUUAUUUUUGCCCUUCAUUCUCUUGCUAUUAUGUACUUUUUUUUAAUGUUCAAUUUAGUUUCAUUUUUAACUUUAUGGAUUCCAUAUGUCCCUCCCAUAUUUAAUAUUUAUUAUCCAAACGCAUGCAUAUAGACAGAGCAUGCAGUAAAGAGUAUUAAAAAAAAAAAGCCUAGUAGAUUUGGUGCAGCUUUUGAAACAUAGUUAGAUGUGAACUGAAUACAGGUUUAAAAGUUAACCCCAGAACCUAAAAAUGCAAGAUGUUUUUGAUACAGCAUAGCUCAGAGUAGAUGUUCCCUAUGGCAUAAAGGGCAGCUAGGAGUGCUGUGGAAAGCCAGUCACAUUCACUUACACCAGCAGUCCCGUUUGCUGAUGUCCCUCAGCUGAGUCUCCAGCAUGAGACACGUUCCUUCUGAAGGCGAGGGGGAGGGGCUGGUGUGCUUAGGGGUAUGGAGCUUGCUGGCACAGGGCUGAUCUGAGAAGAGUUAAGGUAGGAGGAAAAACGGGCAGCGUCCUUGGGUGCCAGUUACCUGAUUUUUAAAAAGGCAGGGGGAGGGGUUAUUUUGUUUUGUUUUGUUUUGUUUUGAGACAAAGUCUCACUAUGUAGCCCAAGCUGUCCUGGAGCUCACAGUAGCUAGGCUGGCCUCAAACUCAAGCUAAACCUGUCUCUGUCUCCCCAGUGCUGGUAAUAUAGGUACAUACCAACAUACUCUACAAUAAAAUUCCCAUUUUGGUUUUAUGAAUUAUAAUAUGUAGGCUAAAUCUCAUAAAGGCUUUUCCUGAGACAUUUAAUUUUCUUGGAUUUUUUUUUCUGGGUUUGACUUGUGAAAAAAAAAACUUAGCAUCCAUCAAAUUCAUAGUUAAUGAGAAUUUGGCAUUUCAUGGAAGUAAUUUGCUAGUUACCGCUUCUCUGUGUUGCUGCCUAUGUACUCCAAGGCAUUUAAGAUUUACUAAAAAUGUUCCUAUUUCAAGACAUAUAAAAAACAAACCCUCAAAAGUAGAAGACUGGGUAUGGUCUUUUGCAGAUGGGGGUGGGGGGGGGAGGCAGCACUGAGGUCUCUGGGAGAGCAGUGGCGAGGGAUGGUCUCUAGUCUUCUCUGGUACCUCAGCAUCCCCAAAGGCUCUUUUGGCUUCCACAGGAACAAUCUGAGUCCUGUACUUACUGAACAGGCUGUAAUAGUCCUGUUCUCUGGAUUAGGAUGAAAGUGGUAGAGCUUGCAUAUUUAAUCUGGCCUUUUGUGACAUGUU